CACUCGACUGGCUCUAGUCCAAACGUGGCCCUAUUCCACCACACCUCCCAUAAACAUGGUCCUUCAAAAAAAAGAAAAGUAUCUUAUGGACAAACUGACUGCACAAGUUCAGGGAUCCAUGAAGGCUUUCUCUAGAGUCUGGGAGCCAUGGAAAGACUAGAAGGACAACUAAUAAAAAAGGCCCCUGAUGCUGCACCAAAGUCUAAUCUUGCCCCCCCACCCACCUCUCCUAGAAGAUGCUCCUUCCGCCAUUGCCGACCAGAGACCUCCGGACCUCUCAC